AUUGAACGCUGGCGGCAGGCCUAACACAUGCAAGUCGAACGAGUGGCGGACGGGUGAGUAAUGUCUGGGAAACUGCCCGAUGGAGGGGGAUAACUACUGGAAACGGUAGCUAAUACCGCAUACCAUCGGAUGUGCCCAGACGGGAUUAGCUAGUAGGUGGGGUAAAGCCUCACCUAGGCGACGAUCCCUAGCUGGUCUGAGAGGAUGACCAGCCCCACUUGAACUGCGUCGCUGUCCAGACUCCUACGGGAGGCAGCAUUGGGGAAUAUUGCAAAAUGGGCGCAAGCCUGAUGCAGCCAUGCCGCGUUUAUGAAGAAGGCCUUCGGGUUGUAAGGUCCUUUCAGCGGGGAGGCGUUACCCGCAGAAGAAGCACCGGCUAACUCCGUGCCAGCAGCCGCGGUAAUUC
rnacentral:rRNA from 1 species